AACGAACGCUGGCGGCAUGCCUAACACAUGCAAGUCGAACGAGACUUUCGGGUCUAGUGGCGCACGGGUGCGUAACGCGUGGGAAUCUACCCUUGGGUUCGGAAUAACAGUUAGAAAUGACUGCUAAUACCGGAUGAUGACGUAAGUCCAAAGAUUUAUCGCCCAAGGAUGAGCCCGCGUAAGAUUAGCUUGUUGGUGGGGUAAUGGCCUACCAAGGCGACGAUCUUUAGCUGGUCUGAGAGGAUGAUCAGCCACACUGGGACUGAGACACGGCCCAGACUCCUACGGGAGGCAGCAGUGGGGAAUGUUGGACAAUGGGCGAAAGCCUGAUCCAGCAAUGCCGCGUGAGUGAUGAAGGCCUUAGGGUUGUAAAGCUCUUUUACCAGGGAUGAUAAUGACAGUACCUGGAGAAUAAGCUCCGGCUAACUCCGUGCCAGCAGCCGCAGUAA
rnacentral:rRNA from 1 species